rnacentral:rRNA from 1 species
GACGAACGCUGGCGGCGUGCUUAACACAUGCAAGUCGAACGGGAGUAUUGAAGAAGCUUGCUUUAGAGAUACUCUAGUGGCGGACGGGUGAGUAACGCGUGAGGAGCUGUCCUAUGCAUGGGGACAACAGUUGGAAACGACUGCUAAUACCCCAUAAGCCGAGAGGUAAAAGGAGCGAUCCGGCAGAGGAGGUGCUCGCGUCCUAUUCGCUAGUAGGUGAGGUAACGGCUCACCUAGGCGAAGACGGGUAGCCGGCCUGACAGGGCGAACGGCCACACUGGAACUGAGAUACGGCCCAGACUCCUACGGGAGGCAGCAGUGGGGAAUAUUGGGCAAUGGGGGCAACCCGGACCCAGCGACGCCGCGUGGGUGAAGAAAUCCCUCGGGAUGUAAAGCCCUGUUGUAUGGGAAGAGCAGAAGACGGUACCAUACGAGGAAGCCCCGGCAAACUACGUGCCAGCCGCCGCGGUAA